rnacentral:lncRNA from 1 species
AAAAGUGCUUGCACAACACUUUAAUCAGUAACACUUAACCCCAGGAAGCAGGGUCAGUAGCAAAUUAGAGUGGGUAGGUGAUAAGGAGGGCCUUAAAGAUGGCAGCCAUAUGUGAAAUGGGUGCAGGGGUGGACCUGAGGAGUGGAGAGGUGGUGCUGUCUAGCUGAGAUAAUUUGACUAGUGUUGACAGCAGUGGGAUAGGCUGUGGUGUCCAGGGUUUGACAGUGGUGAUGACCUCACUGAACUGACUUCCUAGUGUGGCUUUGGCUGUUAAACUUCCUUCAUAGCUCAGUUCUUAACUCCUAUAGUCUACAAACUUCAAAUGUUCUUAAAAAUGGACACCCCCCCCCCCCAAAUUCUCUGCUUGUUAUCUGGCAUUUUUUGUUUACAGUCAAAAGUCUUGACAAACACUGCUUGUCGUUUGUGAUGCCUAGUUGGUAGCCAUCUUUGUAGUUGCAAUUCAUAUUCCUAAUAC